rnacentral:rRNA from 1 species
CCUACGGGUGGCAGCAGUGGGGAAUAUUGCUCAAUGGUCGAAACCCUGAUCCAGCGACGCCGCGUGAGUGAAGAAGUAUCUCGGUAUGUUAAGCUCCAUUAGUAGGGAAGCAAUAACGUCCUCCGGACCUUGGAUGGUACUUGACGAAGAAGCCCCGGCUAACUACGGCCCAGCAGCCGCGGUAAUACGUCGGGGGAAAGCGUUAUCCGGCUUUACUGGGUGGAAAGGGAGCGUAGGCGGCAGGGUAAGACGGGAGUGAAAUCCCAUGGCUUAACCAUGGAACUGCUGUGGAAACUGUGCAUCUGGAGUGCGGGAGAGGUAUGCGGAAUUCGUGGUGUAGCGGUGAAAUGCGUAGAUAUUAGGAAGAACACCGGUGGCGAAGGCAGCAUACUGGACUGUAACUGACGUUGAGGCUCGAAAGCGUGGGGAGCGAACAGGAUUAGAUACCCUUGUAGUC